rnacentral:rRNA from 1 species
UACGAAGGGGGCUAGCGUUGCUCGGAAUCACUGGGCGUAAAGCGCACGUAGGCGGAUUGUUAAGUCAGGGGUGAAAUCCUGGAGCUCAACUCCAGAACUGCCUUUGAUACUGGCGAUCUCGAGUCCGGGAGAGGUGAGUAGAACUGCGAGUGUAGAGGUGAAAUUCGUAGAUAUUCGCAAGAACACCAGUGGCGAAGGCGGCUCACUGGCCCGGUACUGACGCUGAGGUGCGAAAGCGUGGGGAGCAAACAGG